rnacentral:rRNA from 1 species
UACGUAGGGUGCAAGCGUUGUCCGGAAUUAUUGGGCGUAAAGAGCUCGUAGGCGGUUUGUCGCGUCUGCCGUGAAAGUCCGGGGCUCAACUCCGGAUCUGCGGUGGGUACGGACAGACUAGAGUGAUGUAGGGGAGACUGGAAUUCCUGGUGUAGCGGUGAAAUGCGCAGAUAUCAGGAGGAACACCGAUGGCGAAGGCAGGUCUCUGGGCAUUAACUGACGCUGAGGAGCGAAAGCAUGGGGAGCGAACAGG